rnacentral:SRP_RNA from 2 species
AAUUGGGAAGGUAAGUGUGCGAUUUUUUAAUUCGCCAGGUCCGGAAGGAAGCAACGAGAAAAAUUGGCAGCUGUAUCUUCCCAUUUUUA